CCUACGGGUGGCAGCAGUGAGGAAUAUUGGUCAAUGGACGAGGGUCUGAACCAGCCAAGUAGCGUGAAGGAUGACUGCCCUAUGGGUUGUAAACUUCUUUUAUCAAGGAAUAAAACGAGGCACGUGUGCCUUUUUGCAUGUACUUUAUGAAUAAGGAUCGGCUAACUCCGUGCCAGCAGCCGCGGUAAUACGGAGGAUCCGAGCGUUAGCCGGUUUUAUUGGGUUUAAAGGGAGCGUAGAGGGGUUGUUAAGUCAGUUGGGAAAGUUUGCGGCUCAACCGUAAAAGUGCAAUUGAUACUGGCAGUCUUGAGUACAGUUGAGGUAGGCGGAAUUCGUGGUGUAGCGGUGAAAUGCUUAGAUA
rnacentral:rRNA from 1 species